rnacentral:rRNA from 1 species
UACGUAGGGGGCAAGCGUUGUCCGGAUUCAUUGGGCGUAAAGAGCGUGUAGGCGGCCAGGUAGGUCGGUUGUGAAAACUGGAGGCUCAACCUUCAGAGGUCGACCGAAACCAUCUGGCUAGAGUCCGGGAGAGGAGAGUGGAAUUCCUGGUGUAGCGGUGAAAUGCGCAGAUAUCAGGAAGAACACCCGUGGCGAAAGCGGCUCUCUGGAACGGUACUGACGCUGAGACGCGAAAGCGUGGGGAACGAACAGG